UGUAGACCUCACAAAUUCGUCUCCUGUCAUCAGCAGUAGCAGCAAAAGUGCGUACAAGCGAUCGAAAAAGUUUUGAUUUACGGUUGUAAAAAGUGUCGAGCGGUGCUCAAAGUAUUUGAAUUUUCUCGCCCGAAUCCCGCCGUGUCGGUUAGCAUCAUUUUGCGACGGUUUUGAACGUGUUCCGCGUGUGUUUUCCGCUUUUGUACGAGGUACCUCCAAGGUAAUUUUCCUUCACAUUCUGCGUGCCCCCGUCGUCAUCGUCGUCGUCGUCGUACAAACCCGGUCGCGAAGAUUCAGAUUUUCUUCUUGCUUUCGGUGUUUCUUACUCCUACUCGCAUACACAACGUAGAAAGAGAAGUUCUCUUUUUUUGUGUCCGCACUCCGCAAAGCAAGCGCGACUGUUUGUGUGUGUGAGUGAAGUGGUGUUUCAGCCUUCUUUUUGUUGGAAAGAAUCGCAAUCCAAAAGUGGAGUGAAAACGCUUUCGUUGACUCCUGGCUUUCACUGAUCUUGGUGGAGCUUGGUUUUUCAGUCCCGGAAGAUCGGGCCACCUUCAACUGGAUACGGUUCCGCACAGUUUUUAUCUGCCUUCUGUGGCAGUGAAUCGGUAGGGCUCGAAAAACAUCAAAAUCAAGCAAAAGGGCAUCGGUGAAUCGGUGUGCGUGUUCCAAAUCGUGUGUGUAUAGAGCAGAGCUAGUGGGUCGUGUUUCCGGUGGUGGUGCGGUGGAAGCAGCACUAGCCUUUUUUCCGUCUUUUUUAUUCGAAGGGGCAAGUGGAAAAGUGAAGAAGAGAUAACGAGCGCGGAGAUUUCCCGUUACAAAGCAGAGAGUUCGUACAAAUCUGAAAAAAAGGAAAUCAUUUUCCAGCUCCAGAUUCUUCAGCCGAGAAAUUAUUCACGAAAAGUUCUGAUUUCGUCGUAUUCGCUGGAAGACGAAAGAAUUUCUGUUCGUGUAAAAGUUGAGAAGAAUCGUCGCUCAUCCAGCGGAGUAGCAGCAUCAGCAGCAGUAGCUUGAGGAGCGGCCAGCAGUGGGAGUGAAGAUUUUCAUUGUCCGAAAAUUCGCAAACGUCAUCUUCUUCUCUUCAGAAGUGCUUCGCGGAGAACGGAGAAAUCGUCUGCCGUCUGUCGAUCGGACGGUAGUGAAAGGGAACGAAUUCAAUCCGGAAGCAACUGAAAUCGAACGUCUGAUCAAGGACUACAGAAGUAUACAUUGCCUCUGUCGUCUAAACCACGGACACGUUGACCUGAAAUUGCCAAACCGCAACUCAGGUGUCGGAACCGUUCUUACUGCCAGGCCAGCAAAACAGAGCCAGCCACUAGAAAAACUUUGCCGACACUGGGCGCAACAAAUCAAGACUGGUUGAGGUGCGCAACAGGCUUCCACACUUUUUCGCUGAUGAAGAUUCUCUGGCAGCAUGAAUGCAUUGGGGGGAACUAGGGGGGAGCGAAAUGCAAAGCCCAAAUUCGCAGCGUUAGACAUCAACAAACUCUACAGCACAAGUCGGGGAGAAUCUCUUGAACCAUCAACACAGAAAAGUGCAGCUCCUCGUAAACAUGGAAUGCAAAGUUUGGGAAAGGUUCCCUCGGCUCGUCGUCCGCCAGCAAACCUUCCGUCUCUGAAAGCCGAAAUCUCCAUUCCAUCGGAUCAGCAAGGCACCUGGGGAAGCGAAGCAGGAGACACCCAAAACAACAACUCUAGUAUUACUUCAUCUUCAGUAGGGCCGUCAGCAGCCGCCGGUAGCAGCACAAAUAACAACGCCUCGGUUGGUGCCGGAGGUGUUCACACUACUUCACACGCCAGCAGUCCACAGAUUCCCCACUCGAGCACAUCGUCCUCUUCACAAUGGAGUUCGAACGAGUUCCCCUCCCUGGAUGGCACUGGUCAGUAUGGUCCGAGCGGCAAACAGCAGCAUCAUCAUCACCACGAUGGCAUAGACGGCAGAGCGAUGGGGCAGUACAUGGAUGGUCCACAGGUCAGCCUGAGGCCUCAAACGGAUGCGGCGAGUUGGAUGCAGCAACAGCAGCAGAGCAGUGGGGGCGGAAACAACGCCGGAGGUAUGAACGGGCCAAACAGCAGCCAACAGGGCCAGGGCCCCCAACAGCAACCAGCUGCACCCCUGCCGCCACAGUUCCGGGCACUGAUGCCACCGUUCAUGUAUCGUGGCAACGGAGGCGGAGGUGGAAAUUCAGUUACACCGCCGCCUUCGAACGAGGAUAUCAGUCGUGGCAAUAUUGGCAGCGGUGGUGGAGGCAAUGGUGGUGGAGGUGGAGGUGGCAUGCGAAACAACAACAGCAACAUGGGAUACAACAGUAUGCUGCCAAGCUUCGUAGCUCCUCCGACGAAUCAUCACCAAUCUCAUGGAUCAAGCUAUUCGCCAACGCAGUCGGGUGGUAGGUACCGGGACUCCUAUUCAGGUGGACGCCGUGGCCAGAUGCAGCCGCCUCGUCUUGCCAAUAGGCAACAGCAACACCAGCACGAGGAUCAUCGCUCGCAACCGACUGCUCCCGCUUAUGUUGAACCGGAUAUCCUUGUUCAACGACCGAUUAUACGAGAUGAGGAGCUUCAGCGCAUUGAAGCCAUUGCAAAGGACGAAGGAUGGGCCAAGGAUGACGAAAUAGAUUACAACCAGAAACUGCAAUUCUCGGAUGAUGAAUCGGAACCAAGUCCACCGAAAGAAAUUCCAAUGCCAGUGGUUAAGCAAGAGAAAUCACCUCCGCAGGUGCAACAGCAACAGCAGCAAAUACAGCAGCAGCAGCAGCAACAACAGUCUCAACAGGAGGAUGACAAACGAAUGGCUUGGAGUCGCGAGGUGGAACGGGAACAAGAGAGGCUUGAACAGGAACGAAUUGAACGCAUUGAACGUGAACGGCAGGAACGAGAAAGAGAACAAUCGGCUGUUCGUCCAGUUCAGCAAAAUGGGCAUAUAGGUGGUCGCGGUUUGGAUGCGGAGGCCAAGGAGAGGUUGAAGCAACGGCGAGAAGAAGAUCAGCGACGAGAGAUGGAACGCAAGCAAGCGGCCGCUAGAAAGCUCCAAGAACUGGAACAAAAGUUAAGCCGGAAGAAGAAUGAAGAUGGUUCAGCGGGUUCUGCAGCCCCACCGGCUGCCACGAAAGAAGAGGAAGAUCGUGAUCAACUUGUAACAGGUUUUAACGAAUCUGGCGAAAGUAAGGAACGCAGCACAUCAAGCGUUCGCGGUGGGGAUCGUGAGAGAGGCGAAUCGAAAGAAUAUAGAGAUCGUGAUCGAGAUCGCUUCGAUUAUGGACGUCACGACAGAGAUUAUCGUGAUCGCGACAGGGGAGAACGAGAUAGAGCAGAGCGAGAUCGAACAGAAAGGCCAAGAGGAGAACAGGAUCGUGACCGUGAUGCUUGGGGUGAAGCACCGCCAUACUCCAAAAAUUUCCAGUCCAAUUUACCGCCACGUUUUCAGAAACGUAAACUUGAGCGAAAUCCAUCGGGAAAUAGCUUACAGGGAAGUGGAAGCUACAUGAAUAGAGAUCAGAACAUCAGUCGCAACAGUAGUACUGCCAAUCAAGGACCGAUGGUAUCGCAGUCACAGCAGCAGAGUGAGAGCAAAAGUGUCCCAUUCGCUCAACAGUACGAUCCACGAUUUAUCCAUAGUCAGCAAAACUAUGGAAAAAGUCAAUCAUCUGGGCCAGCUAGAAGACCGGCUCCUGGAGAGGACAAUUCACGUGGUCGUGAUUUGAGAGAUCGUGGAGAUGAUCGUGACUCGUUAACAAAAGAUAGGGAACAACAGCGAGAACGAGGAGAAAUGAUUCCCAGGGAGAUCAUGAAACGACGUAUCGACUCGGAAGAAGAUGAUCGUUUCAGCAGUAGUGGUAGAGAAUCAUCGAGUAAGCUCAGUGGAGGCAGAACUACACCACAGCUCGUCAGAAGUGUAUCCGAUACAUCUCAAAGGAAAACUAGUGUAUCUAGCGACGAUAACAAUCGUCAGAUGGAUCAUCACCAUCAUCAUAACAGUUCCAGAGAAAUCAUCGGUUCAUGGGAAAGUGAAACGGAGAAAGAAGAUCGACGACAGGCUGAAGCAGCAGCAGCGUUGGCAAAGGAAAACCAACUGCAGCAGCUACAGUUGCAACAGCAACAGUCGGAAAAUCGAAGAAUUUCCGAAUCUUCACUUUCUGAAGGAGAGCCGAAGCAAAUUCUCCAGCGAAUCAAAGAAUCUUCACCAGCGCUACAUGAAGAAUCGUCGAAAUCAAGAAACGAUGAAACGAAAGCAAAUGAGCCUAAGCUGUUGACAACGGCAUGGGAAGAAACGGUUGAAGCCGCAGAGGAAGCUCAAUUAAAAGCAUCUGAAGCGAGCUCGACUUCCAUUGAGGAUAAAAAAGAUGUGUCCAACUCGGAUAUGAAUAAAAGCGAUAGUGGAAAAUCCAUCGAUCAGGAGAACAAGAUGAGUAUUGAUAGUGGAAAGGAGAUGGAUGACGGCAAAUACGGUUCUAAGAAGCCGAUGCAAUCCCGAGGAGGCGGGCGCCAUGAACCUCGUGGAGGAGGACAUUCCCGAGGUGGUUUUAGCGGCAGCAGCGGAUUCCAUCGCGGGGGCAGUAGUGGUAGUUGGGGUCGUAGAGGUGGUCCUGGCGGCGCAAGGAUGGGUCAUGGCCGUAAUUACAACCAAGAUUAUUGGAGCGAAUCUGACUAUUCUGAUGAUGGCGAUGAAGAAUUUAGAAAGGAUGGAAAAUACGAACGCAAGGAAGGAAUGGGCAGUCAAUAUCGAAACAGUGGUUCAUCCGUUGGCCAAUCUCAAAAUAUGAAAGAAGGUUUUGCUCCUCGCGGUGAACCAUCCCGUAGAGGACGUGGAGGAAUGAGCACUGCUAUGAGUGGUCCCGGAUUCCGUAAAACCACAGUUGGCAAGAAAAUGGAUGGAUAUGGACCACCUAGUUCAAAGAGUCCUUUUGGAAGCAGCGAAGAGAAAGCAGAAUCAAAAAGCCAGUCUGCUCCAAAGGAUAUGAAGCCAACGGAUCAAACAUUGAGCGCGGAUGAUCGGACUAAGCAGAAACAAGCUGCUUUGAGCGCUGGGCUUACGAACAAACCGAUUGGUGGCCCAAAGCCACCUACCAGUGGACCACUGCCUCAAAGGAGCCCGUCCGGAAACAUGAAGCCACCCGGCAAACCGGCUGAAGAAACACUUUCCGAUCAAGAAAAACUGAAAGCAUCUUUGGAGAAGAAAACACGAAAUGAUAGCAAAUCAGAAUCUCACGACGAGAAGAUGAAAGAAAAGCAGAAAACAGAAAGCGAAAGUCAUGAUACGGACGAUGCAAGUAAGGAUAGCCAGAAAUCUGGUCAACCUCGUCCUAAACAGCAGCAACCGCCUGGCAUCAAAGCAGUGCAGCCUAGUACAACGGCACCUGUGGUGAAAGCUACGACUACGACGCCAAAACCAACUACCGUUGUCCCGUCAGGAGCAACGCCAACCGGCCCAAAGCCGACAGCACCGGCAGCCCCCGGAAUGCAACAGGCAAAGCCGAAUCAAGAUGCAAGAGCUCAAGCAAAUAAUCGAUCAAUGAACAUGACGCCACGUAUGGUGAAACCAAAGGAACGACGUGACGGUGGAUUCCAGGAUGGCCAACUGAGCGGAGGCGAAGUCAAUGAGUCUGAAGCAAACGUUGUUGCUAGUUCCCAGCAGCAACCAGUGCAAGAGAAAGUAAACACGUUGAACGUCAACUCUUUAAAGACUGAUAAUAGUAAGCAACAUUUAGACGGAGCUACGCCACCCGUAAACACGAUCAUUUUUGAAAACACGAACUAUAAGUCUUCGACAUCUGUUGUUUCUACAGUGCAACAGCAGCAUCUUCAUCAACAGCAACAGCAACAACAACCGCAACAACCACUGCAAAUUCAAAUGCAACAGCAACAACAGCAGCUGCCACAGGCUCCUUCUGCACAAGCCCAAAUCAAACGACAGCACUCGGGAGGUGUACCCGGUCAGCUGAUGGCACUCCAUCAACAGCAACAGCAGCAACAACAACAACUUCAGCAUCAGCAGCAACAAAUGGUGCAAAUGGUUAAACAAGAUCAUGUUGUUCGACACCCAUCACAGGAAGAUGCGUUCAAGGUCGCAGCUGGUGUUCCUCAGGCAGGGUCUAUGCACGACAUUAUGGAACAACAACAACAACCACCACAAAGGCCGCAGUCGGCAAACGGCCCGCAGCAACAACAGCCACAACCGCAACAACAGCAACAAUUACAGCAAAAUCAAGUACCAUUGCAGCAGCAAAUUCCUCAACAGCAACAGCCUAGUUCCCAAGCCGAUGUUAUAACUAGUGCACUUCACAAUAUGGCGUUCCCCAAACCUGCGGAAGCCGACUACGACAAAGAGAUGAAACCAUUCACAUUCGAUGCGGAUAUUUCGCAACUGAUCGAAGCAAAGAAUAAGGCAGCCGGACUCUGUCUUCCCAAAGCACAGAACAUGAUUUCACCAUCAACGGCCGAGUUGAAUAUGAAAAUUGCCAGCGUGAAAAAAGUAUGGGAGAUGCCUAGUGUUCCAGAGCACGUUACAGAGGAUCCCUCCAGUGCGGCCAACGCGGCUGCUGCAGCUGUGCAACUGGCAGCCAAUUUCGCAGCCGUAAAUUCGCAGCAUCAACAUCAACAGCAUCUCCAUCAGUUCCAACACUCGCACAGCAAUUUGUCCCAUGCUCAUCAGGCCCAUACUUUGGCCGCUGCGGCGGCUGCUGGUCAAUCGUACGCGGGAGCAUUCGGACAAGAUCAGCAAUCACUUGAUCAGCAUUUCAAUAAGGCCAAUAAUGAAAGCGUCGUGAUUGGAGGUACGGGUGGAGGAAACGAUGGAGACAACAGUUAUAACAACCCACAACAUGCAGUUGUUGGUCAGGGUAAUAACGUUCAGCAUCAGGCUGCUGCUAACAUGAACAUGAAACACGAUGUUCUGGCUAAUAAUGUUAAUGUUUGUAAGGUGAAACCAACCCAACAGAACAUGCAUCAGUCGACAGGUCUAGGUCUGUCGCCUCCCCCGAUGCAGCAAGGUACUAUUCCAUCCGCGCCUCAAACUUAUUUCCAACCAUCUCAGUAUGGAAUGUCCGCGAUUCCUUCGCCACCGGCCGUAAUUUAUAAUUCGUCAGCAAUUUCUCAAGGUGGGCUUUAUAAUGCAUUCCAAUUAGAGGCAGCAAAUCGAUCGCAAUUUUCACAAUUUCCCGGUCAUUACGGCACUACAGGAACUGGUCCUUACAACGCGUACAUGACGACGCCUCCGAAUCUGCAAACUGCUCCAACGCCGGAGAUGUAUCCGAGUCUUACUUCGCAGUUCCGGAUGGGUGGUGCCGUUCAAAGUCCGUACAAUCCUUCACCUUCGCAACAGAUGAACAAUCCCAGCACGAUGCUGAUCUCAUCGAGCACAAAUUCACUCAUGUCGUCGUCGGUGAAACCUUCGUCCCAACAAAUCGGUGCAAUAGGCUCUAAGAGUGGAUCGGUUGGUCAACCCUAUGGACAGCAAUACAUGGGUAUGUUCCAACCGGCUCCCCCACUGCAAAACAACAGCUACUACUCCAACUCCGCUGGAGGCCAAAGUGCAUUCUUUGGCGGAGCUGGCGCUACACAAAACUAUGGCAUCCCGGCCGCAGCUGCCGCUGGAAUGUUCGGUGGUCACGGAGCACAGACGCCAUCCAACGCUCCGCCCCCGCAACAGCAACUUCCGAACUAUCCGAACGCAUCGCAGUUUUUGAACACUCCGUUGGCCCUGGCGGCUAAUGCCAUUUCGCAGCAAUACCGCGGAGGACCCACGACGAAUCCACAAUCGGCCGCUGCAGCUGCAGCCUACAUGAAAGGAAACCAACCGCAAUCGCAUAUGCAGGAUCCCAAUGGUCGGCAGCUGAAAAGCCCUUUGAAUUCUGAUGGAAUGAAUAAUUUAAAACAGAUUCCACCCCAAGCGAGUCCUCCACAUCAUAAGGGUUACGCCGCAGCAUGGGAGUUACAACUUCAACAGCAGCAGCAACAAAAUCAACAUUCUAACCAGCAGCAGCAGCCACCACAACAGCAGAACCCACAGCAACAUCCGCAGCAACAAAUGAAUCAGCCUCCGCAGUCUCAGCAGCCCAACCCGAACCGAAACAUGAUGCCUCCCAAUCAGCAACCUCCGGCCGGACUCGGAGGUGCCGCCGGGGGUGUAGGUGGUCGACCGCCACAAGGCGUACAGGGUGGUGGCAUGCCUCAGCGAUACCCGUCCCCGAUCCAACGACCGACCAACUACUCGCAAGCACCUGUACCGGGAAUGCACCAGCAGCGACCAAUUCGUCAGUCGGGUGGCCAUAACCCGGGCCAACAGCAACAGGCAAACAUGGCGCAAGCGAUGGGCAACCCCAACAAACAUUACUACGGAGGAAAUCGAGGUUAGUUCUCCCAAAACUGGUUCAACUCGACUCGCUUAAGCUAUUGCAGUACAUGGGUGGUGGUCACGUUAAUGCAAUGAACGAACAAAACCUUGGCGGAAAACCUGGCGGCGCAAACGAUAAGCCAGUUAUGGAUGGAGAUGUUAACAAGGAUGAUUCCAAGAAAAAGUAAACGAUAAAUCAAAACUGAUCUUCAAUGGAGUGUAGGUGAGAAUUGAUUACUUAGAGGAAAGUUUCUAGAGAAAGUAAUGUGGGAUAUUAAAAUACAUUUUGGGUCGAAUAUAAUAGAACUGAGUUCAAUUUACUGGAUGAGAGAAAAAGUAUUCAAUUGAAAGUUGUCACAAAAUGGCGAAAAAUACAUAAAUAGAGAGUAACAAGGUGCGUAGACGAUUCCGAAAGUCAAUGUAAUCUACACGAAAAAUAUGUAUUAUUGGUAAACAAAUAAAUACCUAUUUAUUAAAUGAAAUAGUUAAUGGAAAUCAUCGGAAAUUGAUUAACCACACAGUAAUCCACAAGGAAAACAAACCGCGACAUUAGUUCUGGCAACGCUAAAGCUUACACUAAAUCGUAUCAAACCAUAAAAAUCAACAUCUGAAUAUACCUAUCUAAUGCAUUCAGCGGAACGAUCACAAAUAGACAAACGAUUCUAUUUGUUUGAACUGGUACUACGUAAUACUGCUAUACAAUGCUUAACGUGCUCCCAGGUAUCAGUGAAAUGGAUCGGUUUGACUGAGUUUCACUAUAAACGCAAAGUAAAAUCUUGAACCUACUUAAUUUAUGACACGAUUCUUCUUUUAUGACAUACAGUAGCUGUUUUCUACGACAGUACAAUUAAAGCAGGGACGAAUGAUGCUGAAUUAGUUUCUGAUUAUUUCUUACGGAGAAUGUCAGCAGAUUAAAAUUCAUCAGCGCGAUUCACUGCAUGAUUUUGGACGACUGCAAAGGUAGAUGAGAAAGAAAAUACAUUACCUAUUAUCUAUUCUGCAAUACAUACAAAUUUACAGACUCGAUUAAUCUGCCCCUUUAAAAUGUUGGCAAAUCUUGAAACGCGUAUUAAAUGCAAAGAGAUCGAGGCAGAAAAUUCAACCGGCAUGGCUACCGUAAUACAACAAGCAAAAUGAUUGCUGCUGACACGGCAAAUGGGAUUCGGCGAGAAAAUAUAAACAAUAUAACUGCUACUACUGCUACUUUCAAACGACAGUUUUCGUUGGAACGGCUGACAGCUUCCAGUUGCAUGCAACCAGGCUGCAAUUCUGAAUUUGUGGAAAGUUCAGCCGCUACCUUGAUUGAAAAUUAUCUGUUCUCCGAAACGGAUAUUUUCCGGCAAAUUAAAUCAAUCCUUACAUAACAGAUACCAUUAAGAAAAAAAAAACAAAUAUUCGAUGGAAGUAAACAAGUAUGUCUACUCAGAAGACUAUUAGCUUAAUACAAUUAUAAGAGAAUAAACAAGAAAUGCUGAAACACAUAAGUAAUUAAUGCAUGAUACAACAACUACAUAUAAAUGAUAAACAGAAACAAGUUUCAAACGAUUAUACUAGUAAUUCACUUUAUUAUAAUUAUUCUUAACGAUAACACAAAUACGUGAAAUAUAUUCGAGUAUAAUCUUUAUUUUGCCGUAACAUUUUUUUUGCGUAUUUUGAUCAAAGCAAAUCCAGGUAUAAUAAAAAGGAUCAUCCCAUUGCCUUUGUUCAUUUUAAUUAUAUGCAUCAUAGACGACUAUUACCUACGCAUCAAUGAGCCAAACUUUCUAUUCAACGUAAAAACAUCAACGCAAAAUCACCACAGAUUACGUGAUUUAAAGCAUGAAUGAGAAAAAUAUUACAUAACAGGAAAAAAAACAAUGCUGGAAACACGCUAAAUUGAUAGUUUAAACUGGGCUAGGAUGAUGGAUAAGAAUUUAAAUUUGCAGAUCAAGGCAAAAAGUUUUAGUUUAUGUUCAGAGGAAAAAUGUUUUAUUUAUUUUCUAUCUUAAUACUUAUAAUUCACUGCUGAAUUAAAACAAAAUGAGAUGAUGUUAGCGGAAAAAAAUCACAAACACAUACACACGCAUAUACACAGCAAAACAAACUGUAUGAGUAAUUCACACUUACACACACAAUUAGAAGGUUGAAUUGACUAGAAAGAAACGAGGAAUGGUUAAAACUUAUAUAUGUAUCAGAAAGGCAAGAUGGAGCAACAGUAAUAGAUGAAUGCUAAUGGAAAACUGAGAAAAAUGAGUACAUUCAAGUAUCUAAAACAAUUCAAACAAACAAAAAAAAAGUUUAUAAAAUUUUGAAAAAUGACAAGAAAAAAAUAAUAAAAAUCGAUAAACCGAAAAUCUAGAAAACCACAAAA